rnacentral:rRNA from 1 species
UACGGAGGGUGCAAGCGUUGUUCGGAAUCACUGGGCGUAAAGGGCGUGUAGGCGGUCCGCUAAGUCUGAUGUGAAAGCCCGGGGCUCACCCCCCGGAAGGGCAUUGGAAACUGGCGGACUCGAGUCUCGGAGAGGAAGGUGGAAUUCCUGGUGUAGCGGUGAAAUGCGUAGAUAUCAGGAGGAAUACCGGUGGCGAAGGCGGCCUUCUGGACGAUGACUGACGCUGAGACGCGAAAGCGUGGGGAGCAAACAGG